AGAGUUUGAUCCUGGCUCAGAUUGAACGCUGGCGGCAUGCCUUACACAUGCAAGUCGAACGGCAGCACGGGAGCAAUCCUGGUGGCGAGUGGCGAACGGGUGAGUAAUGUAUCGGAACGUGCCCAGUCGUGGGGGAUAACGCAGCGAAAGCUGUGCUAAUACCGCAUACGAUCUAUGGAUGAAAGCGGGGGAUCGCAAGACCUCGCGCGAUUGGAGCGGCCGAUAUCAGAUUAGGUAGUUGGUGGGGUAAAGGCCCACCAAGCCGACGAUCUGUAGCUGGUCUGAGAGGACGACCAGCCACACUGGAACUGAGACACGGUCCAGACUCCUACGGGAGGCAGCAGUGGGGAAUUUUGGACAAUGGGCGCAAGCCUGAUCCAGCAAUGCCGCGUGCAGGAUGAAGGCCUUCGGGUUGUAAACUGCUUUUGUACGGAACGAAACGGCGAGCUCUAAUAAAGCUUGCUAAUGACGGUACCGUAAGAAUAAGCACCGGCUAACUACGUGCCAGCAGCCGCGGUAAUACGUAGGGUGCGAGCGUUAAUCGGAAUUACUGGGCGUAAAGCGUGCGCAGGCGGUUUUGUAAGACAGAUGUGAAAUCCCCGGGCUUAACCUGGGAACUGCAUUUGUGACUGCAUAGCUAGAGUACGGUAGAGGGGGAUGGAAUUCCGCGUGUAGCAGUGAAAUGCGUAGAUAUGCGGAGGAACACCGAUGGCGAAGGCAAUCCCCUGGACCUGUACUGACGCUCAUGCACGAAAGCGUGGGGAGCAAACAGGAUUAGAUACCCUGGUAGUC
rnacentral:rRNA from 1 species